rnacentral:tRNA from 4 species
GCUAUAGCCAAGCGGUAAGGCAACGGACUUUGACUCCGUCAUUCGUUGGUUCGAAUCCAGCUAGC